rnacentral:rRNA from 1 species
AACGAACGCUGGCGGCAUGCCUAACACAUGCAAGUCGAACGAGACCUUCGGGUCUAGUGGCGCACGGGUGCGUAACGCGUGGGAAUCUGCCCUUGGGUUCGGGAUAACAGUUGGAAACGACUGCUAAUACCGGAUGAUGUCUUCGGACCAAAGAUUUAUCGCCCAAGGAUGAGCCCGCGUAGGAUUAGCUUGUUGGUGAGGUAAGAGCUCACCAAGGCGACGAUCCUUAGCUGGUCUGAGAGGAUGAUCAGCCACACUGGGACUGAGACACGGCCCAGACUCCUACGGGAGGCAGCAGUGGGGAAUAUUGGACAAUGGGCGAAAGCCUGAUCCAGCAAUGCCGCGUGAGUGAUGAAGGCCUUAGGGUUGUGAAGCUCUUUUACCCGGGAUGAUAAUGACAGUACCGGGAGAAUAAGCCCCGGCUAACUCCGUGCCAGCCGCCGCGGUAA